rnacentral:piRNA from 1 species
AAGUGCUGGGAUUAAAGAACUGU